rnacentral:rRNA from 1 species
ACAUGUCCAGAGGUGGGGGACAACCCUGGGAAACUGGGGCUAAUACCGCAUGUGAGCUGAGGCUCAAAGCCUUCGGGCGCCUUUGGAGUGGCCUGCGUUCGAUUAGCUUGUUGGUGGGGUAACGGCUUACCAAGGCGACGAUCGAUAGCUGGUCUGAGAGGACGACCAGCCACACUGGGACUGAGACACGGCCCAGACUCCUACGGGAGGCAGCAGUGGGGAAUAUUGGACAAUGGGCGCAAGCCUGAUCCAGCAAUGCCGCGUGGGUGAAGAAGGUCUUCGGAUCGUAAAGCCCCUUCGACAGGGACGAUGAUGACGGUACCUGUAGAAGAAGCCCCGGCUAACUUCGUGCCAGCAGCCGCGGUAAUACGAAGGGGGCUAGCGUUGCUCGGAAUUACUGGGCGUAAAGGGCGCGUAGGCGGUUCUGCCAGUCAGGCGUGAAAUUCCCGGGCUUAACCUGGGGACUGCGCUUGAUACUGUGGGACUUGAGGAUGGAAGAGGGUCGUGGAAUUCCCAGUGUAGAGGUGAAAUUCGUAGAUAUUGGGAAGAACACCGGUGGCGAAGGCGGCGACCUGGUCCAUUACUGACGCUGAGGCGCG